ACCUGAUAACACAAGGCUGGGGGAAGCUAGGGAGGGAGGGAGGUAGAGGAGGAGGCAGAGACCUGAUAACACAAGACUGGGGGAAGCUAGUGAGGGAGGGAGGUAGAGGGGGAGGCAGAGACCUGAUAACACAAGACUGGCGGAAGCUAGGGAGAGAGGGAGGGAGGUAGAGGAGGAGGCAGAGACCUGAUAACACAAGGCUGGGGGAAGCUAGGGAGGGAGGGAGGUAGAGGAGGAGGCAGAGACCUGAUAACACAGGGCUGGGGGAAGCUAGGGAGGGAGGGAGGUAGAGGGGGAGGCAGAGACCUGAUAACACAAGGCUGGGAUGAGCUAGGGAGGGAAGGAGGUAGAGGGGGAGGCAGAGACCUGAUAACACAAGUCUGGGGGAAGCUAGGGAGGGAGGGAGGUAGAGGAGGAGGCAGAGACCUGAUAACACAAGGCUGGGGGAAGCUAGGGAGGGAGGGAGGUAGAGGAGGAGGCAGAGACCUGAUAACACAGGGCUGG
rnacentral:lncRNA from 1 species